UAGGAAUCCAACAGUGUUAGUGAGGAAAGUAGAUAUUUCUAAAAACCCAUUCUGGGUGUUGCUGUUGUAGGAGAGAUCAGCCCUCUGGUAAGAUGCCAUGAAGCUGUGUGUGUGUGCAAGUCUCUGUCCCUACCUUUAGAAUCCAUACCUCUGUCAAAAUGAAUUUUUUUCUCUAGGUAUGUUUACCUUGCUGCCUCCUCCAGCAACUUGCUUUAAUCUUCGUCAUUGUCUUAAAGUCAACUGGUGUUUCUUGUUCAUCGACUUUGGUACGAUGGUGCUUUGCAAGGAUGUAUUUAUGUUAUAAUGGCCAACAUUUGGUCAGCCCUUGUCCACUUAUUCACUUCCCUCCUUUUGUAAAAUAAGUGCUUUAAUUAUAAACUGUAUAAAAAUACCUUGUAUAAACCCCUUUUUUGAUUAUUACAAUAAAUAAGCUGAAUUGUAACAAAUGAAAUGUUGAUUUUUGUAAUAAAACAGUGG
rnacentral:lncRNA from 1 species